rnacentral:lncRNA from 1 species
GUGUAAAUCGAUAACGAAAUACGAGUACGACGGUCCAAUCCAAUUAGGUUUUAAAUAAAAUCAAGUUGAAACAUGGAUCAGUGAAGGUGCUACACAAAACAAAAACUAUAAUCUCCCCGACAAGCUUUCUUAAAUGGCUGGCUUAUCCACUGGGCUUUGAUGCCCAGUGGAUGAAUUACAGGCAAAGGAAGACGCUUUGUUGUCUCACACAUUUGAAGUGAAAAAGGUUUUGUGGAGGAUGGCUUGCUAAUAUUUGAAGCAAGAAAGGGUCUUGAUGACUAUCGCAAGGAGAUGAACUCUACAAUGUAUGAAACGUGGUUAAAACAAAUUCUCCCAAAAUUGAAAUUAAUAUAAAAUAUGCUAUAAGUACAGUAAUAAUAUGGUUUUUGAGAUUUUGGCUACAGAAGAACUCUCCAGAUGUUUAUGAAACAAAAUAAGAUGUUCCCUUGCCCUCAGAACUCAUGAUGGCAUCUUUAGUCACAAUGUGCAAUGAAAGAACAACAUGGCGGCAAAAUGAAAUUUAUGAGACUGUCAUAAAUUUCAUUUUGCAGCAGUUUCGGGCGCAGUGGUAUGUGCGGUGGAUUUACAAGACGGAGGUGCUGGAUUCGA